CCCCUGAACCCAGAGUGGAGCACCGGAUACAGUCCCCGGCUUCUGCUUCGGCCCGGCCCGGCCCCGGCCUUAGUAGCCACCUGGGGGUUGAACCCCCAGAGGGACGAUCCGUGAGAGAGAGCAAGACGCAAGAGUGCUCGCGAUGCCCGGUGCUCUGCUUCUCUCCGCAAGCGGCUCCAACGGCCAGCGCCGGGCCAGGCAGAAGCCAGGAGGCUUGACUUCCAUUCAGGGCGCCCAGGAGGCUGGGAGGCGUGGUCCCUGGGUCACAGGCUGGAGAGGCCGCCCCGCCAGCGGCCCUGGGGCAUCGGACGCUGGACGCAGCAGGCAGCGCGCAGGUGCGUCCCGUGGCGCCACGGCGGCCGCCCGUGGGGAGUGCGCCUGCGCCCGGCGCUGUGCCCCGGAAGUGGCCCCUUGUGCCCCGGAAGUGGCCCCUUGUGGCCCGCGGCACUCAGGUAGGAGUCCUCGCGGGUCCCGUCCGCUGCUGCCGGAGAGCCCGCGCGAGCCGUUGGGAGCCGUCGUGGACGCUGCCAGCGGAGCCUGCGGGAGACCCAGCGCCCCCGGGGUCAGGCCGGGCUCAGAGAGGCUGCGGCCCGAAGCUGCCGCGCCGUUUCCCGGGCGCGGUUCUCUUCUUCAGCCCCUCGUGGAAGCAGCGGCCUUCGCAGGCCUCUGUGCCGCCAGCAGACCGGGCCCCCUUGGCGGUACAUCUCCUGCUCAGCCAUCCUCAGAUGGAAGUCUGCUCCUCAUCUGUUCCUGCCCAAAAGCCUGUUCAAGUCUUGAGGAGCCGUCCUCGAUGCUGCUGGCGGAGCCUGAGUGAGACCCAGUGCCUCCGGGGUCAGGCCUGAAUCAGAGACACUGCAGCCCGAGACAGCCGCAUCAGUUACCUUGCCCUUCUGGAAAUGUGUAGGCGCGGUCCUCUUCUUGGGCAGCUUCCGGAAGUCUACCCCUCGGGCCUCGGCUCCUGUUCCAGAGGAGCAGAAACGCUUUUUGUUUGCAUCCAGCGUCGUGGAGUUCUUUGUUGGAACAUGUGCUGAGCACUGGCGCCAAGCCUUCGAACAAGGAGGUGAGCAGCCAAGAGCAACACCUGCAGGAAGGGCCGGGCUGCUGGUGUCGGAGGAGUGGCAGUAGGUUCAACAGGACCCUCAGGUUUGUCCCUCCUCGCCUGGUGAGUCUUCUUGAAAUGUUUGUGCGUAUCAUAUGCCGGCCCUGGCCACAGGCAGGGGACACUCGGGCCUUCAGGAGCCAGGGGAAAGGAAGGAUAAAUUGUGUAUUAUAUUGUAUGUUAUAAAUUGAAUGCUGUAUAUUCAAUUUGUAUUAUAUAUUAUAAAUUUCAUGUCACAUGUUCUAAAUAGGCUUUACAUUGUAUAUCGUAAAAUGUGUAUGUGCUCGGAGGUAUCACAUACGGUUCCAGAAGGAAUGGGCCUACCUGGCUGAAUUGUCAUGCCAGGAUGGGUGAACCAGCAGGUGAGUCAUCUUCUGUCGGGUGGGCACUUACGAUGCCCAGCGACUGCGUUAAUUUCCAGGUUUCUUGUGUUAUUUUCUGGAUUUAUAGUUCUGCUUGGUGGAUAGGAGCUGAGAAAACGGAUCUAGUCAUCCAGAAAGGAAGUUCCUGCUCACAGGCUUUGACUCCUGUUUUUCCUAAUUUGCUAAGCUAGUUUAUCUCAGUUUACAUGGAAGGUUCUGCAACACAGCAGUGAUAGCAUUGACUGGGAAACCCCCCAAAAUGGUUGUAUAUCGAUGUCAUUGCCCCACUGAAUUCUAAUUCUGCCUCUGUGAUAUCCAGUGUUGCCCUAAUUUUAUGAAAAAGUUCUUUAGCAAGAUAUUGUUAGAUUGUCUUAACGAAUGCGGCUAUAUGGGGAGACAUACGAUGUAAACUUCACAUAUCCCAGUCAUAUUAUUACAUUAGCUAGGACUGUGGGGACUCUGUUUAUCAUCAGAGGCAAGUAGAUCAGAGGAUGGCACCGAAAGUUUGAGAAGGAAGCAUUAUUCCCUAAGUAUAUUUGUUGCAGGUAUAAAACUAUAAGGUUCUGAAUAACUCAAUACUGGUUCUUUUUAUUUCUAAGUUAGAUUUUGAAAUAUUGAAAUCACUUGGAUUAUGAUAUUUUUCGGUCGGAGAGGAGAGGGGUAUUGUUUCUGCACAGUAUCCACAAUGGUUGCCAUGCCAUUGGUUGUGAAACUUUGGUUGACGAAAUGAAAUCCCUGUUAGUCCGUGUGUUUAAACAACACAGAAUUUCAGAAUCCCUAGGUAUUGUGUUUUGUGGUUUGGUUCUUAUAGUAUGUGGAGAAUCGAGUCUUCCUUCCUGCUGGUUAGCAUUCACUAGUGUUGACAUCCAAGGAUCAUUCCUUGGUUUUCAUUUUAGGAGAUGCUGAGCAGGGACUAAUCGGUAACAACCCCUUGAGGCGAGUCAUCAUGGAUGUUCCAGUUUCCUCAUUAUCCACUCUUGGUGUUCCUCUUAGUCCUGAUUAUUCAAAUCCAGAUGUUGAAAUGACCCCAUGUUCAGUCUAAGUGUUUGUUCUCACUGGUCUUCUCAUCCUAGACAGCCUCAUCUCUGUACCGUGUUUCAGGAGGGUCUUGGCUUUUUCUCCCAUCAUUAGCUAGACCUGUUUAUGUUGCCCACGGUUUUCUCAUUUUGGCUAUUUUCAAACUUGAUUCCUUGAUUCCAUAAUUCUUUUCCCUCACACACAACAAACCAGGAAAAAUCUGUUCUCUUGUUUUCUCAUGCUCCCAGUCCACACAUGUUCUCUGAUAACGUUCACCAGGCAUCUCAAAGGCUGGCUGGUCCCCACACCCUUCUGGAAGCCACAUGAAUACGUGAUUCUUUGGCUUUUCGCUUUUGUGUCUCAAUUCCGUCACCUUUUCCACACCUCUGCUCCUGUGACCACCAUAAAACUUUAUCAUCUCCCAUAAGCCUAGCCUCUCCCUAGGCUAGCAACUACUAGUGUACUACUAACAGGAAGUUAAAAUUUAGAAACUUUCUGGGGAAAUUCCAAAAUUAAAGUGGUUUACGCCAAACGUCUUAAGAUGCUUUCCCUGUGUUUGACUAGAAUCGUAUCUAUGGGGGGGGGGGAACUAGAUGGAGUGUUCAC